rnacentral:misc_RNA from 1 species
GAUGAAGAACGUAGUGAAAUGCGAUAAGUAAUGUGAAUUGCAGAAUUCAGUGAAUCAUCGAAUCUUUGAACGCACAUUGCGCCCGCCAGUAUUCUGGCGGGCAUCCCUGUCUGAGCGUCAUUUCAACCCUCAAGCAACUUCUGCUUGGUGUUGGGGAUCGGCCGUCAAACGCCGCCCCCGAAAUCUAUUGGCGAUCUCGCUGUAGCUUCCUAUGCGUAGUAGUAACAUCUCGCAUCUGGAGAGCGGCGCGGUCAUGCCGUAAAACACCCAACUUCUCAGGUUGACCUCAGAUCAGGUAGGAAUACCCGCUGAACUUAAGCAUAUCAAUAAGCGGAGGA